UAUGCAACCAGACAUAAGAUCCACCUAUAUUAUGCAUUUCCACUGUUUGCCCUUUAAACAGUACAACGUUAAAUGUAUUAAGCCCUUAGAUUUCUUCAGCAUCCUAUCCUAUUUUACAGUCACCAUGUAGUUUUUAAAGUACCUUUGUAUAGUGAGAUAUCCAGUAUUUUGUCCAUAUUAGUGUGUGCCUGCUUCCUCCACGAAGUUUUGCUGUAUCCUCUGGUUGCUUGAGUUGUUUUUACUCUUCACUUUCAUUUUUAUUCUCCUUCGGUGCAGGACUGUGUAGAGUUGGGCUCUGUAGCUUUAAGGAAGCAUUGCACCUUGGGAAUUCAGCCUUCACACAAGGUUAGUGUUGACAACCUAGCCUGUUGGGAGCUGGAGCUUCUAUUUUAGACCGACGAUUAUGUGAAGAUCAUACCCAGGAACCAGCACUUGAUUUUGGAUGCAAAAAGCAGGGCCCCUCGGUCGGAAAUCAUCAGAGGAAAAAGAAGCUUAGCAGAAGCGCGUUAUACAAAGCAGUUUGUUUCACAGGUUU